AAUUCAACUUUUCAAAAUUCAAAUGCAACAUUUUCGUUGUCCUCCAAUUCAACUUGCUCAAAUUCGCCGUCUCAAAUUCACCGUCUAAAAAUUCGCUGUCUCAAAUUCAGCGUCUAAAAAUUCGCUGUAAAAAUGGCCAAGGUUACUUCAGGUCACCUAAUCACGUGACACAACCGUCACAUUGAAGAAGUACCAGUAUCACCCAGGCUGGCGACCAUGGAGGCGAACUCAAACCCAACGGAACUUUUGCUGGAUCAUAUUUUUGAUAGGCUCCGUGAUCGUUUGGAGCAUGUUCUGGAACGGAUGCCCCUGGAUCUGGAUUUCCUAGACUUUAUCUGCACUCAAGAAUUAGCAUUUCAGGAUAUCUGAAACAGUUCAUUGCAAAUGCCACACCACCUGAACUGAAAGAGUUGAUGAAAUUCUGGACCGGUUGGGAAAAUCUUCCAUCAAGUCUGUCGGUGGAGAUUGUUCAUGGGAACUACCCAACAGCUGCCACAUGCUACGAAACACUAAAACUUCCCUGUCAUUACAAGAAUUACAAGUCAUUCAGUGAGGACUUCUUAGCAUGCAUUUCCUCUACACAAUCUGGAUUUGGCUUGAUCUGAGUGAUCGACUUGUUAAAAAAAAAAAAAAAAUCUACACUUAAGCUGUAGUAGUUCUUUGUGAAGCAGCUUUGUUUAAGCAGAACAGUUCUGUUGAAAUAUUUACUCAAUUCAGUUUUCUGAUUUUUGUCAGAUCACAAGUUCAAUACAUAUGUUUUAAUGUAAUAAUUUAAACUCAGAGUGACAACAUUGCUGUUACUCCACUUCCUGUAGUUAUGUCAAGUUCAAAUUCAAAUGUUCAGAGUAGAUAUUUAAUUUAAGUCUAAGUCAGUACUGUUUGUACAGGCAGUUUAAAUAUUAAAGUGAAAUUGUUUUUUAU